rnacentral:rRNA from 1 species
UACGAAGGGGGCUAGCGUUGUUCGGAAUCACUGGGCGUAAAGGGCGCGUAGGCGGCUUUGUAAGUCGGGGGUGAAAGCCUGUGGCUCAACCACAGAAUUGCCUUCGAUACUGCAUGGCUUGAGACCGGAAGAGGUAAGUGGAACUGCGAGUGUAGAGGUGAAAUUCGUAGAUAUUCGCAAGAACACCAGUGGCGAAGGCGGCUUACUGGUCCGGUACUGACGCUGAGGUGGCGAAAGCG